rnacentral:rRNA from 1 species
AUUGAACGCUGGCGGCAUGCCUUACACAUGCAAGUCGAACGGUAACGGGCCUUCGGGUGCCGACGAGUGGCGAACGGGUGAGUAAUAUAUCGGAACGUACCAUUCAGUGGGGGAUAACGUAGCGAAAGUUACGCUAAUACCGCAUAUUCUGUGCGCAGGAAAGCAGGGGAUCGCAAGACCUUGCGCUGAUUGAGCGGCCGAUAUCAGAUUAGCUAGUUGGUGAGGUAAAAGCUCACCAAGGCGACGAUCUGUAGCGGGUCUGAGAGGAUGAUCCGCCACACUGGAACUGAGACACGGUCCAGACUCCUACGGGAGGCAGCAGUGGGGAAUUUUGGACAAUGGGGGCAACCCUGAUCCAGCCAUGCCGCGUGAGUGAAGAAGGCCUUCGGGUUGUAAAGCUCUUUCAGCCGGGAAGAAAACGCAUGGGUUAAUACCCUGUGUGGAUGACGGUACCGGAAUAAGAAGCACCGGCUAACUACGUG